AACAAGGAACCAAUUAGGCAAAACCAUUCACUCAUACAGAAAUUAUCAUGAACAGUUUGAGCAUGAAGCUGCUAAUCCUAGUCUUGAUUGUCAUUGGAUCAAUCUCAUUCUGCGUUGAAGCUCAAGGAAGAAAAGAAAAAAUUAGCUAUUGGGGCACUAGCAAAAUGGUACAUGAAGAGGGAAAAAAACACAUCAUGGUAAAGUUGAAAAAAGAUGAAACCUUGCUACUUCGUUUGAAGCCUAAAGGAACUCUGCCUUCUGGUUCUCAAGUUUCCCUUACUAUCUCUAGUGCCAACGGUAGUAUCUCUAGUCCCGACCGACAUGGUUGAUUAUGUCGUCGAGAGAAGAAGAAGAAGAUAGGGAAGCUUGUAUUCAAAUUUUUUGAGAUUUAUUUCUCAAAAAAUUUAUAAAUUUCCUAAAUAUUAAUAAAAUAAGAACGUUUUAUGCUUUAUUUAA